CUGGUUUCCUUUCCAGCAUUAUUUCUUUUGUGCAAAGCAGAUGGGCAUGUAAAGGAGGGCAAGCGAGAUGGAGAGACAUUAGUCUUUAUUUAUAGGUAGAACAGGAUGAAAAGUACUUGGAGAAUCUCCGAACCUCCAACACCAACCCAGAGGUGCCAGCGUGAUCCUCUGCCCUUCUGAUUGCCUUUGCGACCCCUCUUAUAUCUCCAUGGAGAAGGGCAAGUAUGUGCUGCCUCCUGUGUGAAUGUUGGAGCCCUGUAUGUUUGUCUAGAAUCCCAGCAACUGUCAAGUGUCAAUAUCAGGAUGCUGUUGGCUGAUGUGAAAGAAAGGAUGUCAAAAUUUAUUUCAAAGGAUAGCUGCAGCAGCUCCAGACAUCAUACCCAGAGAUGGCAGUGUCCAGAGGCAGGGCAGCAACCAUUGCUUCUGCCACUGCCUCUCUAACCCUGGACGCUCUGGUGAUCACGAGGAAGAAGGAGGCUAAGUAGUCUCAUCCACAAGAGAAUGAGCCCCAACCCAUGAGGACACACCCACGGCCAGACGUGUGUUCUCGUCUGGGGAGAGCUCUUCGUUUUGUUCUCAUUUUUUGCAUUCUCGCUGCUAGGUUCUGAAGACUCACAUCAGCGUCUAGAACACAAUGGGUCCCCUGUAAAUGUGUGUCGAAUUGCAUCAAUUAAAUCUACACCA